GCUUACGGGGCCACACCUCCCUGAGCACCGCCCGAUCUCGUCUGAAUCUCGGAAGCUAAGCAGGGUCGGGCCCGGUUAGUACUUGGAUGUGAGACCGCCUGGGAAUACCAGGUGCUGUAAGCC
rnacentral:rRNA from 1 species